rnacentral:rRNA from 1 species
GUGGGGAAUAUUGGACAAUGGGCGAAAGCCUGAUCCAGCAAUGCCGCGUGAGUGAAGAAGGCCUUAGGGUUGUAAAGCUCUUUUACCCGGGAAGAUAAUGACUGUACCGGGAGAAUAAGCUCCGGCUAACUCCGUGCCAGCAGCCGCGGUAAUACGGAGGGAGCUAGCGUUGUUCGGAAUCACUGGGCGUAAAGCGCACGUAGGCGGCUUUGUAAGUUAGAGGUGAAAGCCCGGGGCCCAACUCCGGAACUGCCUUUAAGACUGCAUCGCUUGAAUCUGGGAGAGGUAAGUGGAAUUCCGAGUGUAGAGGUGAAAUUCGUAGAUAUUCGGAAGAACACCAGUGGCGAAGGCGGCUUACUGGACCAGAAUUGACGCUGAGGUGCGAAAGCGUGGGGAGCAAACAGGAUUAGAAACCCGGGUAGUCC